rnacentral:rRNA from 1 species
ACGCUCGACACCUACGGGAAGCAGCAGUAGGGAAUUUUCGGCAAUGGGGGGAACCCUGACCGAGCAACGCCGCGUGAAGGAAGAAGGAAUUCGUUCUGUAAACUUCUGUUAUAAAGGAAGAACGGCGGAUAUAGGGAAUGAUAUCCGAGUGACGGUACUUUAUGAGAAAGCCACGGCUAACUACGUGCCGGCAGCCGCGGUAAUCUGAGCGGGCUGGCAAGGC